AAUAUUGUACAAUGGGGGAAACCCUGAUCCAGCCAUGCCGCGUGUGUGUAGAAGGNCUNNGGAUUNUNAAGCACUCUUUGUUUNNNNNAAGGGUUGUUGUCUAAUAUCCAGCACUUUUGACGUUCCCGACCGAAUAAGCCCCGGCCAAUUUCGUGCCAGCAGCCGCGGUAAUACGAAGGGUUCAAGCGUUAAGCGGAAUUACUGGGCGUAAAGCGCGCGUAGGUGGGUUGUUAAGUUGGAAGUGAGAGCCCCGGGCUAAACCUGGGAACUGCUUGCAAAACUGGCAAGCUAGAGUAUGGCAGAGGGUGGUGGAAUUUCCUGUGUAGCGGUGAAAUGCGUAGAUAUAGGAAGGAACACCAGUGGCGAAGGCGACCACCUGGGCUAAUACUGACACUGAGGUGCGAAAGCGUGGGGAGCAAAC
rnacentral:rRNA from 1 species